CAAAGCCGGAAGUUGGAUAAAUUACAGUUUGAAAUCAUGGAGCUUGGCGUAAAGUCCAGAGAAAAAAUAUAUGAAAGACUCGAUUCUCUGGGAGAGGGAUAGUUUGCCACAGUGUACAAGACAAUACCAACGACACGAUAGUUGCCAUCAAGAAGAUCAACGUUGGACACAGCAGAGGCUACAGAUGGCAUCAACAACAGCCCUACGAGAGAUUAAACUACUGUAGGAGUUAAGUCACCCAAACAUUAUCGGGCUCCUUGAUGUUUUUGGGCAUGAAUUCAACAUCAGCUUGGUGUUUGACUUCAUGGAGACAGACCUGGAGGCACAGAUAUGGGUUCAGUCAUACCGAACAUCAAAGACUGGCUGAUGCCCAGAGAGAACCAGAGAGAGGGAGCAGCCUGAGAGCUAUGGUGAUGAUUAAAGAUACCAGUCUGGUGCUGACUCCAGCCAACUCUACUGGGCCUGGAGUACAUGCACCACCACUGGGUUCUCCACAGGGAAGUUGAAGCCCAGGCCUCAAAGCACUGUCAUACAAUACACACCUUCUCAUAGGUGCCUGUGUGAGUAAACACUGUGUGUACGAUCUGAAGCCCAAUAACCUGCUGCUGGAUGAGAAUGGGCUGCUGAAGCUGUCUGAUUUUGGUUUGACUAAAACUCUCGACAGCCCUACAGUCUACACUCACCAGGUGGUGUCGUUCUCCAGAGUUGUUCGGUGCCAGGAUGUAUGGAGUGGGCGUCGACAUGUGGGCCGUGGGCUGGGUCCUUGCGGAGCUUCUACAGGUACACACACUCCAUAAGCUCAGUCCAAUUUAAACAUUGAGAUGAGACAAAACAAGUUUGUCUGUAGAAUGGCACAGAAACUAAGCAGCUCAAUUUAACUUUGUUCUGAAAUUGUCUUGUCUCUGUGAUUUAAAAAGAAAUCUAGACUGAACAUCAAGGUUCAGACUACUGUGUUGUUAGACACACACCUUUCUAUAUACAUAAUUCUGCAUCCCAAAUGGCAAGCUAUUCCCUGUAUAGUGUACUACUUUUGACCAGGGCACAUAGGACUCUGGUCAAAAGUUGUACGAUAUGUAGGGAAUGUGUUUGCCAUUUGAGACUCCACCCAUGUUCACUACAUGUCUGUGGUGUAACAGCCUCUGUCUCUCUCCAGUUACCAUUCCUAGCAGCAGACUCCUGGCCCGUGAGUGUCUGUCUUUUCUGAGUCUGCAUGUGUGGUUCAUUUAAGACUAAGCAACGCCUUGAAAAUAUCUGGAUUUAAAUAAUGCCUUCAUGUCUGUCUGUCUCUGUCUCUCUCUCUCUCGGGGAUGAGUAGUUGUUUAAAUAGUUUUCUGGUACUCUGGAACAUAUCUUCAGUGCUGCAGGAGACAACCUUUUAGAAGGACUACAGGGUCUAUUCACCUUCAACCCCUCCACACGCCUUACAGCUACACAGGUAUGCUGUGUGCUAUGGCACUUAGUAUCUUUCACAAGUUACUUUGUUUCUCAAUUGGUUGUAUAACCUGUUUUUAUGGACUGUAAUGUGAUACACAGUUCAGCACACAAACACAGGGGGUCCCUGGGUCCUGUGUGGGAGGGUGAUCUGGCAUACAGACAUACAGCUGCUGUGUGGCUUUGUCAGCCUGUCCCCCCUGCUGUUCAGUUCUGUGUCAGAACUACCUCAGGCUAUAGGAACCCCUGAGCCCCCCUCGACCUCCCUUCUCUUUGGCUUUUCUCUGGAAGAGUCUUAAAUGGCACCCUAUUCCCUAUUUAGUGCACUACUUUUGACCAGUGCUUAAAGCAGUGCACUAAAUAAGGAGGCAUUUGGGAUGAAGUCAGUCUGUUUAUUCAGUGCUGUUUCUCCCAGCUCUACCCCCCCCCUCCUCCCAUCUCCUCUCAACAGCCUCUGAGGGUGAGGUACUUCACUAACAGCCCCAGCUGCCCCAGCACAACUCCUCAUCCGAGCCUCUCAAAGAGAAUCAAGAGGAAACGAGAUGGUCUGGAGACAAGGAAUGAACAACACACAGACACACACGCACGCCUCAGCAUUGGAAUCAAUAGCACAGACAUCAUUAUUCCAUCAUACACCAGAGCUAGAAGUUUAAAUACCUCAUUGACAUGUUUGUGUUUGACCAUGAUAUUAUUAACAACAUGGUAAAUAUUAUUCUGCUUGCUUAUUUAAACUGAUGGUUUGGCUUGUACAAAGGAUUCAAUGACUGGUUUCCAAUUUUGGAUUUGCCAGAAAGGGCCUCCCAUACCUAGAAUGCAUACAUAUUUUUGUACUGUGACCAUGUUAUCAGAAGUAACCUCGUCAAUUAAACACAAAUAUUCUCACACACUGUCAGAGUAACAUGGUCUACUCGCAUAGAACUGAAAUCCCAUUAGAAUCAGAGCCCAGUAAUUAAAAGGAUGUAGGCGGUACAAAAUAGCGCAAUAGCAACCCAGGACUAACACACACACACACACACACACACAGGUGAAGGGAUGGUGGCGGUACGUUUAACUGCAACAAAAACCGAGUGUUACUGGGAGGUUCAACGUGUGGUUUGGGAACUAUUUAGGUCGACUGGGUUGUAUAUUAUAAUACUCUGAGCUAGAGUUGAAAAGAGGCUCUGGGUGUUGAAAUGUAAAUGUAGUUGUUAGCAGGUGGUGAGUGUAUACGUUCAUUACAGCAAUGGUUGUUUUUCCUUUUCAGGCACCAUAAAGAAGAAAUUGAUACUCUGAUAGGGAUAUAGAGGGCAUUUGCUUCAAUGGAGAAACAUGACUAGUCUUGCUGUUAAACUUCCAGUGUGGUUCAUUGGACUAGGUAGCUAGAAGUUGCCCCUAAACAGUGGUCCAUGGUUAGGUUUUUUUAAAUCCUCUUAAUGGUUAAGUUUAGUGUUGAAUAAUGUUAUUCUAGACCUGUGGUUAGUGGCAACUUCUAACUCCAGUGUGGCGCGUGUGGUCCAGUGGAAAAGACCUCCAGUGUGGCGCGUGUGGUCCAGUGGAAAAGACCUCCAGUGUGGCGCGUGUGGUCCAGUGGAAAAGACCUCCAGUGUGGCGCGUGUGGUCCAGUGGAAAAGACCUCCAGUGUGGCGCGUGUGGUCCAGUGGAAAAAACCUCCAGUGUGGCGCGUGUGGUCCAGUGGAAAAAACCUCCAGUGUGGCGCGUGUGGUCCAGUGGAAAAAACCUCCAGUGUGGCGCGUGUGGUCCAGUGGAAAAGACCUCCAGUGUGGUCUAACGGUGGUUCUGCUAGAGCACAACUAUUUAGGUGACGAAAGAAGAAAAAAACAGCAACAAUGUAUUUUGGUCAUGAUUCAUUGCAUACAUUUAGAUGUACUGUAUUUUGGUCAUGAUUCAUUGCAUACAUUUAGAUGUACUGUAUUUUGGUCAUGAUUCAUUGCAUACAUUUAGAUGUACUGUAUUUUGGUCAUGAUUCAUUGCAUACAUUUAGAUGUACUGUAUUUUGGUCAUGAUUCAUUGCAUACAUUUAGAUGUACUGUAUUUUGGUCAUGAUUCAUUGCAUACAUUUAGAUGUACUAUAUUUUUGUAUGUUAUUUCUUUUUGAUGAAUGUGAUAAAUAAUUCUGAGAUUGUGGUUGUUCAUUUGGUUGACACUUCUGAAUUAGCUGACUCUUAGCUGACUCACCUUAGAAUAAAGUAUCUAAUCAAUUAUACAAAAACAAAUUAUGAAUGCAAUUAAUUAAGUGGAGAAAUGUUAGUAAAAAAGAAAUAAAAAUACCUACUCCCA